rnacentral:lncRNA from 1 species
AGUCACUGCUUAAAGCAAUGGGACACACAUGUCCCUUUUCUUUUUUUGUAGCAGUUGUUUUAUAAAAUGUUGUCGGAAUAGCAAUAUGGAACACUUCUAUGGAGCGAUAGCAUGAAGUGAAUAUUUGUAUAACUGACUAGACUUCUCCAGGCUGCUCAGCUGCUCAUGGGCAGAUGCACUUGGCAAUUGCAGAGUCCCCCUUCUUCCUUUCUGGCCUUUCUGAGCCUUCUAAAGAAGGGGAAGACUGGACCGGAGGUAAACCAGAGACAGUUUCUUGUAUCUCUGCUGCUCAACAAAGGGACCCCAUGUUUGUGUCAUGUAGCCUAGGGACUCAACAAGCCCCGUCCCAGUCCUUCUGGACUCCCAGGCAUGCUGUCUUCAGUUUAGUGCUCCCUUCCCUGGGUUAUUUCAAAAUCUGUUGUUUGUUGUUCAUACCUCCUAGAUUCCCAUGAAGAAGAAAAGGGCUAAUUAAACUGGAGACCUUCUGAAGCACAGUUUCCAGCUCUGCAGGGUCUCCUGAAGAAGAGGAUCUGGGAGCCUAUUUUCGUGACGGUUUUCUUCCCAGGGAACCAUAUGCCACCAGACAGGCAGGCAGCAUGAGUGGAUUGCAGAUUCAGUGCUGGAGUGUUGGUGAACAGGGCGGGAUGUUAGUCCUCAUUGGAAGGCAGCUUGCUGCUGUGGCUCCUCCUCUUCUUGCCCAGAUACCCACGUAGGACAGAUGCUGCCCUCGUCUCCACCGCAGGCUCAUGGAUUCGGCUCUGGUGCUGGCCUGACACUGGGCAUCCCCACUUUCUACUUCUUCAUGCAGCUGCUUGUGGCCUUCCAGUGUUGAAGCUGUCUGCUUGAUCUUUUUUUUCCUUUUCUUUCCUUCCUUCCUUCCUUCCUUCCUUCCUUCCUUCCUUC